rnacentral:rRNA from 1 species
GUAGGGUGCGAGCGUUAAUCGGAAUUACUGGGGCGUAAAGCGUGCGCAGGCGGCUUUGCAAGACAGAUGUGAAAUCCCCCGGGGGCUCAACCUGGGGAACUGCAUUUGUGACUGCAAGGCUAGAGUACGGCAGAGGGGGAUGGAAUUCCGCGUGUAGCAGUGAAAUGCGUAGAUAUGCGGAGGAACACCGAUGGCGAAGGCAAUCCCCUGGGCCUGUACUGACGCUCAUGCACGAAAGCGUGGGGAGCAAACAGGAUUAGAUACCCUGGUAGUCCACGCCCUAAACGAUGUCAACUGGUUGUUGGACGGCUUGCUGUUCAGUAACGAAGCUAACGCGUGAAGUUGACCGCCUGGGGAGUACGGCCGCAAGGUUG